CUGGAAUCGGAUGAGACGCGUUAUUUAUGGGCCAUUUCCUUUUUCAUGGAAUUUUCUAGAGAAACAGAUCUUGAUGUCAAAUAUUAUAGUCAAACAUUAAACAAGGAUAUCGUUCAUUAUUUGAUAAACAACAUGCACAAAUAUAUCGACAGCUUGAUGAUGGACAAAGUAGAUGGCGUUAUAUGGGGGAAAAGAACUCACCAAGCUCUGAUGGCAUACAAGCAAA